rnacentral:rRNA from 1 species
CCUACGGGAGGCAGCAGUCGAGAAUCAUUCACAAUGGGGGAAACCCUGAUGGUGCGACGCCGCGUGGGGGAAUGAAGGUCUUCGGAUUGUAAACCCCUGUCAUGUGGGAGCAAAUUAAAAAGAUAGUACCACAAGAGGAAGAGACGGCUAACACUGUGCCAGCAGCUGCGGUAAUACAGAGGUCUCAAGCGUUGUUCGGAAUGACGGGGCGUAAAGCGUGCGGAGGCUGUUUCGUAAGUCGGGUGUGAAAGGCGCGGGCUCAACCCUCGGACGGCACAUGAGACUGGGAGAGUAGAGUUAUGGAGGGGGAUCCGGAAUUCGCGGUGUAGCAGUGAAAUGCGUAGAUAUCGAGAGGAACACUCGUGGCGAAGGCGGGUUCCUGGACAUUAACUGACGCUGAGGCACGAAGGCGAGGGUAGCGAAAGGGAUUAGAUACCCGGGUAGUC